CCUGCCACUAUGCCUGUCUGUCAAGAGUGACUGAGUAUAAUCCAGUGGAGGCUCAGAUAGACCCAGCUUUAGGAAACAGGGCUGCCCACCUUAAUGGACAGUUCUGUGCCGAAAAGCCUGGAACACGU
rnacentral:snoRNA from 1 species